GACACGUGAAACCCUGUGGGAAGCAGGAGGGACCACCCUCCAAGGCUAAAUACUACCUAGUGACCGAUAGCGUAUAGUACCGUGAGGGAAAGGUGAAAAGAACCCCGGGAGGGGAGUGAAAUAGAACCUGAAACCCUGCACUUACAAGCUGUGGAAGCACAUUUCUUGUGUGACCGCGUACUUUUUGUAGAACGGGCCAACGAGUUACGUUAAGUAG
rnacentral:rRNA from 1 species